AUGUAUAAGUAUAAACGCAUCAAGCGUGAAACUGCGUACGGCUCAUUACAACAGCAGUAAUUUACUUGAUCUUGACAACCUACAUGGAUAACUGCGGUAAUUCUGGAGCUAAUACAUGCACCAAAGCUUCGACCCGCGAGGGAAGAGCGCAUUUAUUAGAACAAAACCAAACGGCUUCGGCUGUCAAUUGUUGACUCAGAAUAACUAAGCUGAUCGCAUGGUCUUGCACCGGCGACGUGUCUUUCAAGCUUCUGCCUUAUCAACUUUCGAUGGUCGUGUAUGUGCCUACCAUGGUGGUUACGGGUAACGGAGGAUCAGGGUUCGACUCCGGAGAAGGGGCCUGAGAAAUGGCCACUACGUCUAAGGAUGGCAGCAGGCGCGCAAAUUACCCACUCUCGAUUUGAGGAGGUAGUGACGAGAAAUAACGAGACUGAUCUCUUAUGAGGCCAGUCAUCGGAAUGGGUACAAUUUAAACCCUUUACCGAGUAUCUAUGAGAGGGCAAGUCUGGUGCCAGCAGCCGCGGUAAUUCCAGCUCUCAAAAUGCAUAGAACCAUUGCUGCGGUUAAAAAGCUCGUAGUUGGAUCUGUGCCGGCUCCCCGGUCCAUCGCAAGAUGCGCACUGGUGGCAGCCGGCUUUCCUGUGGCUCACAGCCCGGCGGCCCUCACGGACGGCCGGUGCCUGGGGCUACAACUUUACUUUGAACAAAUCAGAGUGCUCAAAACAGGCGUUUCGCUUGAAUGUUCGUGCAUGGAAUAAUAGAAGAGGAUUUCGGUUCAAUUUUAUUGGUUUUAUUGACUGAGAUAAUGGUUAACAGAGACAAACGGGGGCAUUAGUAUUGCCACGUGAGAGGUGAAAUUCUUGGACCGUGGCAAGACUGACUACAGCGAAAGCAUUUGCCAAGAAUGUCUUCAUUAAUCAAGAACGAAAGUCAGAGGUUCGAAGGCGAUCAGAUACCGCCCUAGUUCUGACCGUAAACGAUGCCAACUAGCGAUCCGCCGAUGGAAACACAAAUUGCCAUGGUGGGGAGCUUCCCGGAAACGAAAGUCUUCCGGUUCCGGGGGAAGUAUGGUUGCAAAGCUGAAACUUAAAGGAAUUGACGGAAGGGCACCACCAGGAGUGGAGCCUGCGGCUUAAUUUGACUCAACACGGGGAAACUCACCCGGCCCGGACACCGUAAGGAUUGACAGAUUGACAGCUUUUUCAUGAUUCGGUGGAUGGUGGUGCAUGGCCGUUCUUAGUUCGUGGAGCGAUCUGUCUGGUUUAUUCCGAUAACGAGCGAGACUCUGGCCUACUAACUAGUCCGCGCAUUGCCUCUGUGCCGUUGGAUUUCUUAGAGGGAUUCGCGGUGUUCAGCCGCAAGAAAUGGAGCAAUAACAGGUCUGUGAUGCCCUUAGAUGUCCGGGGCUGCACGCGCGCUACACUGGCAGAAUCAGCUGGCUUGUCCUGCCCCGAAAGGGGCGGGUAAACCCGUGAAAAUCUGCCGUGAUUGGGAUCGGAAAUUGCAAUUAUUUUCCGUGAACGAGGAAUUCCAAGUAAGUGCGUGUCAUCAACACGCGUUGAUUACGUCCCUGCCCUUUGUACACACCGCCCGUCGCUGCCCGGGACUGAGCCAGUUCGAGAAACUUGGGGACAGCCGAUCCGGUUGCCUUCGGGCAGCCGCUUUGGUCGAAACCAAUUUAAUCGCAGUGGCUUGAACCGGGC
rnacentral:rRNA from 1 species